UAUUCUGCCCCAUGGGGAAGGAUGAGAAGCUUCGACUAAGGUUCGACUCGAGCGACAGCGAGAGAACGUUGCCGCAGGCAACGGCCCGAAGGGCGAGGCGCUUUAGCGCCGAGUAAUCCUUCCCCCACCACUG
rnacentral:sRNA from 1 species